rnacentral:rRNA from 1 species
ANNCUGGCGGCAGGCUUANCNCAUGCAAGUCGAGCGAAGCCUUCGGGCUUAGCGGCGGACGGGUGAGUAACGCGUGGGAACGUGCCCUUCACUACGGAAUAGUCCCUGGAAACGGGGUUUAAUACCGUAUACGCCCUUCGGGGGAAAGAUUUAUCGGUGAAGGAUCGGCCCGCGUCUGAUUAGGUAGUUGGUGGGGUAAUGGCCUACCAAGCCGACGAUCAGUAGCUGGUUUGAGAGGAUGAUCAGCCACACUGGGACUGAGACGCGGCCCAGACUCCUACGGGAGGCAGCAGUGGGGAAUAUUGGACAAUGGGGGCAACCCUGAUCCAGCAAUGCCGCGUGUGUGAAGAAGGCCUGCGGGUUGUAAAGCACUUUUAUCGGGGAAGAAUAGGUUGUCGUUAAUAGCGCCAACACUUGACAUUACCCGUUGAAUAAGCACCGGCUAACUCCGUGCCAGCAGCCGCGGUAAUACGGAGGGUGCGAGCGUUAAUCGGAAUUACUGGGCGUAAAGGGNNGNNUAGCNGGAACCUUAAUUCNGANGGAAAACCCCCGGGGGUUUAACCGGGGAAUGGCAUUGGAAACUGGGGUGUUCUANANUGUGGUANAGGAUAGUGGGAANNUCCAGUGUNCNGUGAAAUGCGUANNAUUGGAAANAACCCCCAUGGCNAAGCNGCUAUCUGGGCAACACGGACNCU